UACGUAGGGGGCGAGCGUUGUCCGGAAUGACUGGGCGUAAAGGGCGCGUAGGCGGCCGUACAAGUCUAGCGUGAAAGUCCCGCUUUCAAGGUGGGAAUAGCGAGGGAAACUGUAAGGCUUGAGUGCGGAAGAGGUAAGUGGAAUUCCCAGUGUAGCGGUGAAAUGCGUAGAGAUUGGGAGGAACACCAGUGGCGAAGGCGACUUACUGGGCCGUAACUGACGCUGAUGCGCGAAAGCGUGGGGAGCGAACAGG
rnacentral:rRNA from 1 species